CCAUCUUCCAAUGUUGAUGCAGUUGCGUUGCUGUUAGAUUGAUCCUUAUGAACCAAUUUGUUAGUGAAUAUGAAAACGAGGUUCAACAAAGUGCUGGGCAGUAUAACACACUAUUGGCUUGUGGGGUGUAUGUUAGGAAAAUGAAUGCUUAUUUUCUAAUCACAGGAAGAUACACAAGGUUAUUUAUCAAUCCAAAUAAUGUAGAUGCAUCAACUCUAUUGGAUUGGUUUGUCUGUGAUAAUUUUGCCAAGAGGAAGAUGAAGUGGUUUAAUAAUUGUGGACUAUCAAUAAAUCGG